rnacentral:rRNA from 1 species
CCAGACUCCUACGGGAGGCAGCAGUGGGGAAUAUUGGGCAAUGGGGGAAACCCUGACCCAGCGACGCCGCGUGAGGGAAGAAGGUUUUCGGAUUGUAAACCUCUGUCCUUGGUGACGAUAAUGACGGUAGCCAAGGAGGAAGCCACGGCUAACUACGUGCCAGCAGCCGCGGUAAUACGUAGGUGGCGAGCGUUGUCCGGAAUUACUGGGUGUAAAGGGAGCGUAGGCGGGAGAGCAAGUCGACUGUGAAAUCUAUGGGCUUAACCCAUAGCUGCGAUCGAAACUGUUCAUCUUGAGUGAAGUAGAGGCAGGCGGAAUUCCUAGUGUAGCGGUGAAAUGCGUAAAUAUUAGGAGGAACACCAGUGGCGAAGGCGGCCUGCUGGGCUUUAACUGACGCUGAGGCUCGAAAGCGUGGGUAGCAAACAGGAUUAGAUACCCGAGUA